rnacentral:rRNA from 1 species
AUGAUCAAGUAUUGCUUGGCAAGGAUGGACUAUGACCCUACAGACCCUCAAAUCAAGGUGUACUGGAUUUUGCCAGGGAAAGACUAUGGUGAUGGCCUGCUAUGUGUUGACAAUCCAGAUGUUAUAGAUGCUAUGGUGAGGUCCAGCAGGGAAGCCAAGACAUUGGAUUUGUUAGUUGAUGAGGAGAAUAAGAUUCAGACAUUAUAUCCUGAUAUCAUACUAAAAGGAUGCCCAAUUGCAGAUGGAAAUGAGGAUGUAGAGAAGGCAGAGGAAGGAGAGGAUGCAGAGGCAGAUCAUGAUGCAGAGAAUGCAGAGGAAGGAGAGGAUGCAGAGGCAGAUCUUGAUCAUGAUGCAGAUAAUGCAGAGGAAGGAGAGGAUGCAAAGGAAGGAGAGAAUGCAGAGAAUGAAACUGACUCAGACUUUUAUGAGAGUGACUAUGAUUGUAGAGAUGGAGAUGAUGAUUUGUUUGCUCAGAAUGUGGACAAAUCAUUGAAUGACAACAAUGAAGAAGAGGAAGAGAUAUUUGAGGAGGAAGAUCCACUGGAUGAUGAUGAGCUCAACCUGUCAAAAGAUGAUUUGGAGAAGUUGAAAUAUACAUUCAGAACAUUCAAUGCAGAAAUGGACAUGAGCAACCCAAUCUUCAGGGUAGAGCAAGUACUUGGAGAAAUGAAAGAGCUAACGGAAGCAGACACUGCAUACACAGUCAAAAACAGAGUGAAAUUCUUCAAACCUAGAAAUGAGGCAGAGAGAUUCAUUGGUGUGUGUCAACCAGAUUGCCCUUGGAGGUUGAAAGCAUCUAGACACAACAGAACAUGA